GCUCUGUGAAGUACCAUUAGCCGCGGGAAUAUCAGUAUGGUGACUCCUUACCCUGGGGAAGUGUACUUAGGCCACGGCUAGGUGAAGCCCAGGGAUAUUUCUGUUCGCCCAUGCAUCCGAGAAAGGAGUGUUAGACCUGACCCUGUUGUUUCUCCCAGCAGUGAGAACGUGGCCAUGGACAAGAAUUCCAAGUAGUGGCACUUCUGUAGACGACGCGGCCCUUUUGGGGUUACUACAGCCCAGGAAACUCACAUGCGACACGGCGCCAGCUGAAGUCCAUCUAGACCCCCGCAGACCCAAGGUCACAAGUUGAGAACCCCCUGCCGUGGACAUUCUUCUGCACCUAGUGGUGAAGCAGGUGGAGCUGCACCUUGCUCCGCCCAUUUGGAGACUGGUUCUGCACAUAUGAGUGUGCCCUGCAGCGAUCCUGCAAUCCUUCGUGACUAACAAGGACUUUCUGUGAAAACAGAUUUAUCUUUUCUUCUCUACCUUUAAGGUUUCUUGCUGUUGAGAAUAGUUAAGGGACGAGGAAUUCUUAUUGCCCCCAUUUUACAGGCAAAGAAACUAAUGCUGACCCCAACCUUACCGACCACUUGGAGGUCCCUAAAAACACAUGACCUUUGUGUUUCUCGGCUGUUAGUGGAAUCCUUUCUGUCUGCUCAUGAACUCAUCUUCAAACGCAUUCCAGGCCUUCAGAACUCUUCCGUGAGCGCAAGUCACUGAUUGCACUAGAAAGAACCACAUGGGGUUUAUUCUUCCCUCUUUCAAGAAACCUAAUGAAAUUGGGCUGAGAUUCCAAGGAACUCCUGGAAAAGAGUUAUCAGUGCCAGAAUGAAAGAUCCUAGAGGCAGAGCCCACCGUUCUACUCUAUUUAUAGUGGUGAAAGAGAAAAGAGGCAGAACAUUAUAGAAAAUGGAAAUGAAGUGACUAAAGACAGCCCUUGGUGUAAGUGCCCAUUGAGAACACUGGAAGAAACUGACUUCAGAGUCCACCCGGUACAAAUGGCCGCUGAGAGUCCCUGGUAUAAGUAACCAAGGCAGUGCCUGGUCCAAGAUGCCACCUAAAACACUGUGAGACUUAGAGAGGAGAAGCAGAUUCUUUCAGAGCACACGGCGAGUUACUUGGCAGUUCCAGGGUCAGUGCUAUGCUCUACAUUGCCUCUAUUUCUUCCUGAAUUUGAAGAAUUACAAACAACUGGAAAAAUAAAAUUACUCCCUCUCUUCCCCCUAGACAGAAAAUGAAAGUAAUGAAGACUUUGGGUAAGAAUUUUACAGCGGCAUUUUCAAAGCUUUGCAAGGGGCUUUGUGCAUUUAAGAGAAUUUGCUAUUUAGAGGUCCAGAGAUCUGGCUCCUGGAGUUUGGUUAUGAAGAAGGAAGAGGCAAGUUUGAAGAAAAGGCACUGAUAUUUCUCAGUACAAUGUGAAGUCCUGAAAUCAUUAUGAAAUAGAAUUCUUUGCAAUUUAUAAAGCAGUUAGGAAAAUCCUCUUGUUUGUACUUAAGAGUUCACAUGUACACAUGCUCAUGUAUAUAAGUGUGCACAGGCACAUGUGUUAGCAUUUGUUUCUGCAUUUAUGCAUACAUGCUUGCAAAUCCCCCUUUUGGAGCACUCACCAAAAGGAACAGAAUGGAUCAUCCAUAUUGGCCCAGGACUGGACCAGACUAUAUAAAUUCAAGGGUUUAUAAUUAUCAAUUACUGUCCUUGUGAAGCACCAAGGCAUUUCUCUAGACUUAGUUACUCAGACAGGAGAGAAAUACUCAUGACGGGUAUGGCUGACUGAAUGUAUGGUCACAAUGCUUCUCUCCCCUGUGGCAGCAUACACAUCCACACUCUAGCUGUGACCUCAUGGUAUGUGGAGUGUGCUUUCCAAUCCCUGCACUUUGAACUUGGCCAUGUGACAUACUUUGGCUACAGAGCUUUUCAUAGACAUAGGAAGGCAGAGACUUGAAAUACAUAUGUGUGGCAGGCCUUGCCCUCUUGUAUUUCUAUUAUUGCCAUGAGAAGAACAUGCUCCAGGUAGACCAUUCUUCCAAGGAGGAUGAGAGACCAGUGGAGUAGACCUGGGUCCAGCUUAGUUUGGAGCCAAGCCCCAAAUGACAUGCAGACUUAUGAAGAUGAAUACAUUACUAUUGUUAAACAAAUAGUAUUACAAAUUAUUGUUAAAGUUUUAGGGUAGUUUGUUAUAAAGAUUAUUGUGACAAUAGCUGACAAAUACAAUGGGGGAGGCAGUGAGUCCUGGGCUGAGACCAAUUUCUGUGGGUAAGAAGGUGAAAAGAAGUGAAAGUAAAUGUAUCCAAGACAGAAGAAUAGAGGACAGAAAGCCGGGUUAGGAAUAGAAGCAUGCAUGCGAGGGGACCCCCAAGGGCAGCAUUAAUUUUGGGAGUUCCUGCUUUAAUUAGCCCAUCCUUUCAGCAAAGUUUGAUCUGCACAUGCAGUCUUGUGUGGUGGGUAUAGAAAAUAAAGUUUGGUUGGAAGCUGUGGGUGAAGAGCAGCCUCCUACUUAGGGGCUGUGUCUAGGAGUUCUGUGCAGUGACUACAGUGAAGUGGUCAUGACCCACAGUCAAGUUGCAAACAUCUGAGAUGAGUUUGCUAUGGCCAGGAAGAAUUUUCUAGUACAUCGUAAAGGAGAAAUUAAAGGCCUCUGAAUUGGUGGGGGAUUGCUGGGAGUGAUAAUGGACUCUCAAGUAGCACUUCAAUGUAAAGAAUUACUGAUAUAAACUAUGCACAUGUAAAUAAAUUAUAGGCAUAUAGAAAAAUUAUGAAUUUCACAAAAUCCACAAUUUAUCAAACAUAUUAAGUCCAAAGUGCCAUGUUCCUCCACUUUUAGUAUACGUAAGAGUCUCCUAGAGUGUUUGUUAAAACUGCAGAUUCCUGGACCCCAUUCCCUGAACUUUUGAUUAAGUCAGUCCAGGGCCACACUUUAAGAAACAUCGAUAAGCUGCUUCCUUGCUAUGGUUACAACAACCCCUUGUCUUUCAUGUAGGAAUUUGGAUAUUUCAGGCCCAUUUUACACAUGAUCCAACUAUAAUUGUCCUUUUAAAUGUUGAAAUAGCCACCAGAAGACCAGGCGUGUUGCUAUGUGCUCUGCAUUUUUUAAGCAGAACCUCCUGAAUUCCUCUUUCCAUCCUUGUUAUUCAAACAACUUCUAGUGCUUAAAGUGCACCCCAAAACUCCUUAUUGAUGUGUCGUAUGUCACAUCAAAGCAAGCUACAUUUAAUUUUUUGUGUUUGUCUUGUCACUUCAUUGGUUAAAAUCUUUGAAAUUUCAGUUUUUAAACAAACAAAAUCUGUUUUCACAUCCUUCUGCCUUUUUUGGGGCAAAGUGGAGGAGAAAAAUCUGUAUUGCUUUUUGUUUAAGUCAGGUCUAUUAAUAUAUGAUUUAUAUACAGUAAAAUUCACCCUUCUUACGUAUACACUUCUAUAAGUUUGACAAACUUAUAUACUGACAUCACCACCACCACCAAUAAGAUUUGGGAUCUUUCCGUCACCUAAGAAAGGUUCCUUGUGUCCUUCGUUAGUCAAUCUCAUCUCCUUUGUCACUAUGGUUUUAUCUUUUGCAGAUGUCAAUACAUGGAAUCAUAAAGUAUAUAAUAUUCUGUAUCUGGCUUCUUUUACUUGGUUCAACACUUUUGAAAUGCACCCUUGUCAUUCAUAUCAUCAGUAGGUUGUCCCUUUUUACUGCUGAGUAGUAUUCCAGCAUAUGAAUGCACUAUAAUUUGUUUACCCGUUAACUAGUGGAGAGACAUUAUGACAUUUCCAGUUUGGAGCAAUUAUGUAAAAAAGCUUCUA
rnacentral:lncRNA from 1 species